UACAGAGGGUGCAAGCGUUAAUCGGAAUUACUGGGCGUAAAGCGUGCGUAGACGGUUGCGUAAGUCAGAUGUGAAAGCCCCGGGCUCAACCUGGGAAUUGCAUUUGAGACUGCGUAGCUAGGGUGCGGAAGAGGGAAGCGGAAUUUCCGGUGUAGCGGUGAAAUGCGUAGAUAUCGGAAGGAACACCAGUGGCGAAAGCGGCUCACUGGAUCGAUACUGACGCUGAGGUGCGAAAGCUAGGGUAGCAAACGGG
rnacentral:rRNA from 1 species